rnacentral:snRNA from 1 species
GGAGGUAGGGUCCAGCGGCUG